rnacentral:rRNA from 1 species
GACGAACGCUGGCGGCGUGCCUAACACAUGCAAGUCGAACGGAAAGGCCCUGCUCUUGUGGGGUGCUCGAGUGGCGAACGGGGGAGAAACACGUGAGUAACCUGCCCCUGAUAUUGGGAUAACAUCAGGAAACUGGGGCUAUUACAGCAUAGGAGAUCUUGCUCCACGGUGGGGAUAGGAAAGUUUCGGCGGUUGUGGAUGGACUCGCAGCUUAUCGGCUUGUUGGUGGGGUAGUGGCUUACCAAGGCUUUGACGGAUAGCCGGCCUGAGAGCGUGACCGGCCUCCGUGCGACUACGGUACGGCCCAGAAUCCUACGGUAGGCAACAGUGGGGAGUCUUGCACAGUGGGGGGACGCCUGAGGCGGAGGCGCCGGGUGCGGAAAAACCGCCUUCGGGUUGAGAACCGCUUUCUCCGGAACCGAGGAGUGCGUGACGGUACUUGGUCAGGAAGCACCGGCUAACUACGUG